rnacentral:lncRNA from 1 species
GUUGAGAAGGGAAUUGACUUGCAUGGGAGCUUUAUGGAAGCUUGCUGGCUAUUAUGGUUGAGAAGGAAUUUGAUUUACAUUGGAGCUUUGUGGAAGCUUUAUUUAUGGCUUUGUGGUUAUUGAUUAAGACUUGGACAUUUCAUAACUUUAUGGGAGUUGUAUGAGACCUAUCAUUUUGUUUGUGAACUUUUGUUAUGAAGACGAUAUAUGAAGG